AUGAUCCUGCCGGUGACUUAGCGCCAAAGCGUUGCCUCAUCACGAACCUCCUCACCAGCUUGACUCCACGUGCCCUUCAAGUCCACACCACAAAAGCUUCUUCAGAGAACCUGAAAACACAAGGUGGCGCCUCUGCGGCCGGUGGCGCUCCGACGCUCAAGUCAGUAACAAGAACACCCAAAACUCAGAGAAAAUAUGCUCUGUAGAACCGUACUAAAGGCACACAACCCUAGCAGAAUGAGCCGUAAUGAAAACGUACCUCUGCAAAUUCUGUUAAGUUUACCUUUAUAGCUAGGUUUCUUCUCUCUUCAGGCCGUUAUGCUUUUGGACGCAUGGUUCGCAUCCAGCCCUGCACGUGUCGCCAUCUGGGCUGGGAUAGCAGGUAGCAACCAACCCUACACGUGUCAUCAUCUGAGCUGGGGUAACUCGAGCGUCAUUUCUC
rnacentral:lncRNA from 1 species